GAUGAACGCUGGCGGCGUGCCUAAUACAUGCAAGUCGAGCGAACGGACGAGAAGCUUGCUUCUCUGAUGUUAGCGGCGGACGGGUGAGUAACACGUGGAUAACCUACCUAUAAGACUGGGAUAACUUCGGGAAACCGUAGCUAAUAACGGCUAAUAUUUUGUACCGCAUGGUUCAAAAGUGAAAGACGGUCUUGCUGUCACUUAUAGAUGGAUCCGCGCUGCAUUAGCUAGUUGGUAAGGUAACGGCUUACCAAGGCAACGAUGCAUAGCUGACCUGAGAGGGUGAUCGGCCACACUGGAACUGAGACACGGUCCAGACUCCUACGGGAGGCAGCAGUAGGGAAUCUUCCGCAAUGGGCGAAAGCCUGACGGAGCAACGCCGCGUGAGUGAUGAAGGUCUUCGGAUCGUAAAACUCUGUUAUUAGGGAAGAACAGAUGUGUAAGUAACUGUGCACAUCUUGACGGUACCUAAUCAGAAAGCCACGGCUAACUACGUG
rnacentral:rRNA from 1 species